rnacentral:rRNA from 1 species
CGGACGGGUGAGUAACACGUGGAUAACCUACCUAUAAGACUGGGAUAACUUCGGGAAACCGGAGCUAAUACCGGAUAAUAUUUUGAACCGCAUGGUUCAAAAGUGAAAGGCGGUCUUGCUGUCACUUAUAGAUGGAUCCGCGCUGCAUUAGCUAGUUGGUAAGGUAACGGCUUACCAAGGCAACGAUGCAUAGCCGACCUGAGAGGGUGAUCGGCCACACUGGAACUGAGACACGGUCCAG